rnacentral:rRNA from 1 species
GUGGGGAAUAUUGGGCAAUGGGCGAAAGCCUGACCCAGCAACGCCGCGUGAAGGAAGAAGGUUUUCGGAUUGUAAACUUCUGUCCUCAGGGAAGAAGAAAGUGACGGUACCUGAGGAGGAAGCCUCGGCUAACUACGUGCCAGCAGCCGCGGUAAUACGUAGGGGGCGAGCGUUGUCCGGAAUGACUGGGCGUAAAGGGCGCGUAGACGGCUGUCUAAGUCUGGAGUGAAAGUCCUGCUUUCAAGGUGGGAAUUGCUUUGGAGACUGGAUGGCUUGAGUGCGGAAGAGGUAAGUGGAAUUCCCAGUGUAGCGGUGAAAUGCGUAGAGAUUGGGAGGAACACCAGUGGCGAAGGCGACUUACUGGGCCGUAACUGACGUUGAUGCGCGAAAGCGUGGGGAGCGAACAGGAUUAGAUACCCUUGUAGUCC